UUAACGCGAAAAGAACCUUACCAGGUCUUGACAUACUAUGCAAAUCUAAGAGAUUAGACGUUCCCUUCGGGGACAUGGAUACAGGUGGUGCAUGGUUGUCGUCAGCUCGUGUCGUGAGAUGUUGGGUUAAGUCCCGCAACGAGCGCAACCCUUAUUAUCAGUUGCCAGCAUUAAGUUGGGCACUCUGGUGAGACUGCCGGUGACAAACCGGAGGAAGGUGGGGAUGACGUCAAAUCAUCAUGCCCCUUAUGACCUGGGCUACACACGUGCUACAAUGGAUGGUACAACGAGUUGCGAACUCGCGAGAGUAAGCUAAUCUCUUAAAGCCAUUCUCAGUUCGGAUUGUAGGCUGCAACUCGCCUACAUGAAGUCGGAAUCGCUAGUAAUCGCGGAUCAGCAUGCCGCGGUGAAUACGUUCCCGGGUCUUGUACACACCAA
rnacentral:rRNA from 2 species